GCUGUAUGUCAGAGUUUCACGCUCCAAGUGCAUUGCUGUUGCAGCCACCACAAUUGCUUUCAGGAAAAAAAUCCUCCGCAUUUCUUAAGUGCACAGAGUCAAGGCCUCCUGGGACUUGCACCACUUCAUUUGCACAGCCAUCAACCAACACCCCAGAGUUGGAGAAGAAAGUGCUGCACAGCCUCCACAUCAUGUCAUUGCGGCUUCUAGAGCACUCCGACCAGCUGGACAUAAUGUUAUCAUAUUUGCAAGAACCCAAAGAGACGGAAGAGUCAGACAUCAUUACACGUCCAUUUGUUGGUGUUGAAAGUUUCAUAAAGUUUGAUGAGGGACUGCAGCACUCUCACAAGAAAAAGGAACAGCUGCAGCGACAGAUGAUAAAAAUUGGGGGCACAAGCAGUGGAGACAGAGCCAGACGCACCCUCUACAAAAUAAUUGCAGAUGAGGUGGCACAGAAAUUCAACUGGGCAGGGGCAGGCGGCAAAAUGAAGUUCAGUUCAAUUGAGUGCUGCAACGUGAUAUGUAGUAAGUAUGGCUUACAACAUAUAACU